rnacentral:rRNA from 1 species
AACGAACGCUGGCGGCAGGCUUAACACAUGCAAGUCGAACGCAUCCUUCGGGGUGAGUGGCAGACGGGUGAGUAACGCGUGGGAACGUGCCCUUCAGUUCGGGAUAACCCAGGGAAACUUGGGCUAAUACCGGAUACGUGCGAGAGCAGAAAGAUUUAUCGCUGAAGGAUCGGCCCGCGUCUGAUUAGCUAGUUGGUGGGGUAAUGGCCCACCAAGGCGACGAUCAGUAGCUGGUCUGGGAGGAUGAUCAGCCACAUUGGGACUGAGACACGGCCCAAACUCCUACGGGGGGCAGCAGUGGGGAAUAUUGGACAAUGGGCGCAAGCCUUAUCCAGCCAUGCCGCGUGAGUGAUGAAGGCCUUAGGGUUGUAAAGCUCUUUCGUCCGGGACGAUAAUGACGGUACCGGAAGAAGAAGCCCCGGCUAACUUCGUGCCAGCCGCCGCAGUAA